rnacentral:tRNA from 1 species
AUUCUUUUAGUAUAAUAGUAUAUUUAACUUCCAAUUAAAAGGACUGUAAAUAACAGAAAGAAUA